UUUUUGAGUUUUUCUCUAUGAUGAUAUGGGAAAACGCAAACAAACUUUUUGGCCAACCCAGUAUUUGAACAUGAGAGGAAAAGAGCAAAGGAGUUGAACUUUUUGGCUUUGCCCUCAGCCUUGUUGCUGUCUCCUCUUUCAGGUGAAUAUCUACCAAACCUGUUCUUGCAGGAGACCAGAGUGGUCAGGGAAACACUUCUUCAGUUUCCUGACCUUGCCGCUGCUUUGUUUCUUUCUGUCUUUGUGACAACAGCAGCUCAGACUUAACCUUCACAAUUCCCUCCUUCUCAUUAGUUACUUUCUCAACAGAAUAUUUCCUAGGUUUGGAAUGAAAAUCCUUUAAUAUCUAUUCACACUCCAGAAAACUAACACACAGAUGAUUUGCAGUGUGAAUGGCCCUGCCAUUCCAACGGAGCUGUACUGCUUAUGCAAACCGCCUGGAGACCUUCAAAGUUCAGAGAAAGCGGAAUUUGCAUGCAUGGCUGGGAUCCAGAUUGCAGAUAGGCUGAGGCUGGCAGAAUGAGUUGUAUGGUAGCAUAGCUCAGCACUUUCUACAAAGAAACCCCAAAAUGUCCAGACUGUCUCUUCCAUUGACUGUUAACUGGAACAUCUGGGGAGGGCAGUUUGGCAACAUUUAUCAGCGUUUCAGAUGCACAUCCCCUUCCACUCAGGGAUUCUGCUUGGAACUUUUUAGGCUGUAAAUUCACUUGCCUAAGUAUCCAAGAUAGCUAUAUAUACGUGCUCAGUCAUGUCCGACUCUUUGCAACCUCAGGGACUCUAGCCUUCCCGGCUCCUCUGUCCAUGGGAUUAUCCCAGCAAGAACAUUGGAACAGUUUCAGUACUUUGCCAUUUCCUCCUCCAGGGAAUCUUCCCGACCCAGGGAUCGAACCUGCAUCUCCUGCAUUGGCAGUUGGGUUCUUUACCACCGUACCACCUGGGAAGCCCAAGUAUUCAAAGGCCAUUGAUGGUAGGAAGAGGUCUUCAGCAUAAUCACAGCUGCUCCCGUCAGUGUGCCCUGUUGCCCUGCAGACUGACUGACAGCAAAUGAAGGUUUUACUUCUGUGCCAGUUUGGCAGGUAGGGCUUCUUUGUGUGGCAAAGAGAGAUCACAACAGCAUGUGCCAGGUUGCAUACAGGGGGACAUUCCUGCAGAGCAGACACAGCUGUCCUGGGAGAGUCUUGAUUCAGGACAGAGUCUUGACCUCUUAGCAUGAAGUAUGUGUUCUCAGGCUGUCAACAAACACGCAUGAGUGGGCAUGCGUGUGCGUGCGCGUGAGCGCGCGCGCGCGCGCACACACACACACACACACACACACACACACACACACACUCAGAAUCCUCAUCUGUAGCCACUUCCUGCUACAUACCCAUACUCCAGCUUCACCAAAUUAUUUGUCUUCCUGGAAUGCACAAUGUGUUUUUUAUACCAUGAUAAUAAUUUAUCCCAACUAUGGUUCAAUGGCAUCCAGAAUGCAAUUAACCCAUAUUCAUUUUCUCCUUCCUUUGCAUUUUGCUUAAUGAUGCUUAACUCUAAAUAGCUUCUUCCAUAGAAGGAGAAAAAAGACUCCAGUGAGACAGUUGGGAGGAUGGGCAACCGCCACCGUGUCUUACAGUCUGAUGGUUUUGUAGUGUUCUGUGUUAUUGCCUGCUAAAUCUUCACAGGGGUGUGCUCUGUAUGAGUCACUGUACAACAUCUAGCCUAAACUGUGAACAAAAACAAGUAUUCGUUUUCCUUACAUGUAUGGAAGAGAAUUGUUAGGCUCACAGAGAAAAAGAGAGAGUUGUGGUUCCGUGUUUAAUUUUUGGCUCUACUGGUUGAAGAUGAAGUCUAUUUUCAUUCCUCCUAUUUUCGUUGCACCUUAGUAUUCAGGCAUGUGAUUGCCUGAAGUUUUGUCCUCACGAUCUAACUGGGAAUUCUGUGGUGUUCAAGCGACUUCUUAUAUUAACUCUUGAUUUACUAACUGGCUUCUAGACACAAAGAGAGGAUUAAAAAGCUGCAGAGAUAAACUGUUCCAGAACAAUGGAUAUAACUCACAAGCAAGAAAGUACCUCAGUCCCAUUCACAGAGAAUUUGUGUCUAAGAUAUGUGGAGUUCUCUGCUUAGCAAACAUCAGGAAAUGAUCUGGCUACUUAUAUCGCCCUGGCUUUUGAGGCAGUGAAAUGCCGUACGCCCUCAGAUGCUUAAAGCCAUAGCGUUGCUGGCAGCUCAGUUACAAAUUUAGAUGGGAAAGUAUUUUGCGUGAAAAUAAUUAGCAGAUAGAUCUUGUGGUUCACUGACU
rnacentral:lncRNA from 1 species